AGGAGAGUUUGAUCCUGGCUUAGGAUUAGAUACCCUGGUAGUCCAGAAUUAGGCUUAGAGUUUGAUCCUGGCUCAGGAUGAACGCUGGCGGCGUGCUUAACACAUGCAAGUCGAACGGACGCCUUACUGAAGCGGAGGGAGCUUGCUUCUGAAGCGGAAGUAAUUCGUUAGUGGCGGACGGGUGAGUAACGCGUGGGUAACCUGCCUCACAUCGGGGGAUACCAGUCGGAAACGACUGCUAAAACCGCAUAAGACCACGAAACCGCAUGGUAUCGCGGCCAAAACUCCGGUGAUGUGAGAUGGACCCGCGUCUGAUUAGCCAGUUGGCGGGGUAACGGCCCACCAAAGCGACGAUCAGUAGCCGACCUGAGAGGGUGAUCGGCCACAUUGGGACUGAGACACGGCCCAAACUCCUACGGGAGGCAGCAGUGGGGAAUAUUGCACAAUGGGGGAAACCCUGAUGCAGCGACGCCGCGUGAGUGAUGAAGUAUUUCGGUACGUAAAGCUCUAUCAGCAGGAACGAUAAUGACGGUACCUGACUAAGAAGCACCGGCUAAAUACGUGCCAGCAGCCGCGGUAAUACGUAUGGUGCAAGCGUUAUCCGGAUUUACUGGGUGUAAAGGGAGCGUAGGUGGCCUGUCAAGCCAGAAGUGAAAACCCGGGGCUCAACUCCGCGGAUUGCUUUUGGAACUGAUGGGCUGGAGUGCAGGAGGGGUAAGCGGAAUUCCCAGUGUAGCGGUGAAAUGCGUAGAUAUUGGGAAGAACACCGGAGGCGAAGGCGGCUUACUGGACUGUAACUGACACUGAGGCUCGAAGGCGUGGGGAGCAAACAGGAUUAGAUACCCUGGUAGUCCCCU
rnacentral:rRNA from 1 species